GGUGCUAUAUUUUAUAUAAAAUAUUAAAUUGCAAGUUUAAAAAAAGAUUAAUUAUCUUAGUACUU
rnacentral:tRNA from 1 species